UGCACAGAUGAGGAAACUGAGGCACAGAGAAGGCAAGUCACUGAGCCACUCUGUGCCUGUUCGCUCGUCUCCAGAUGGACACAGGACAGCCCUGCGUACCAUCCGGUGUUGAUGAGGAUUGAGCAAGGAACCACAAAGACCGUAAGAGACUGCCUCGCGCACAAGCCGAGUCCUGACCCUCCCGCCAGCCAGGCCCACGGCGCCUCACCGAGGACGUCCUUCCUGUGCAGAAAGGACACUUUGCGCAUGACGGCCAUCCUCGUCUUCUCCAGCCCGUCCCUGGUCCCGCUCUUCGCAGCCUUCAUGAGCUGGGUCAUCUGAGCAAAGGCAGAGGGGCUCAUCAGAGAAGCCGAAGGAGAGCCCAGGACGCCUGCCACCAAGGGCCACGCCGCCCCACGCAGGCCUCCCAGCCGGGGCCGCGCACAUCAUGACCCCAGGGCCCGUUCACUCCCAGGGACGGGGUGGCAGAGGCCAAGGGGGACAGCCAGGCAACGCCGCCCAAUGCAUCCCAGGAAGGGGUGAGAAGGGGCAUUUGUGCCCUGGAGAUCACCCCGGAGGAACCCUGUUUACUGGCAAAAGGAGGUCUUAACCCGACGUCUCCCUUCGGGACAAAGUGCACGGGUAGGCGUCAAAUGAAGGCAGUGGCAUGACACAGGGGAAAGACCCGAGGCCUGGAGCGCCAGGCCUGGGUUCAAAUCCCAGCCGCGCCUCUCGGGACAAGUCACUUAGCCUCACUGAGCCUCAGUUUCCUCACUGAGAUGUGCCAAGGUCUAUGAGGACUAACGGGGGCCAGGGAAGCACGCUGGACAGUAAGAUGAUCCGCGCAAAUGGCAGCGGUUACUUUGGGGGCAAGCAGAAGGAAGUGAGUUCACACCCCCACCCCAUCUGCCAAACCCAAGUGAGGCCCCCGUCCCUUGCCCCCCAAAGCAGCCAAGUUUCUGACUGCGCCGAGGCCCGGGAAGGGGAGGGAAGGCCGGAGCUGCCACGGAGCCGAGCACAGCUUCCCCGGCGUGGGGACGGACCGCGGCCACCACACCUCGCGGCAGGCAAAGCAGGAUGUGAGGCGGGAGAGGACCCGCGCCCAGGAGGGGGAAGCCGCGAGCUGAGCACUGGGGGAGCCCGGGGCCCGCAAACAGAGCCACUGUCCCGGAAGUUAUCCCUGCACCGCCCCUCCAGGCCCCAGCCCUGGCAUCUUCCCCGACACACGGUCAGCCCUAUCCCACAGAACUUUUCUCAGUGAUGGAAAUGCCGACUCUCGGUGUGCCCACAGGGGGUCCACCAGCCACCAGUAACUCCUGGGCCACCUGAAAAGUGGCUCUUGUCACUAAGGACCUGAAGUCCCGGUUAUAUUUAAUUGUAACUGAUUUCAACGUAAAGAACCACAUGACUAUCAUAAUAGGCAGCGCAGUUCUAGAACACUCUCUCCUUCCUGAAACUCUCUGCUGAAGGCGGAGAGCACUCCCCUGGGGGGCUCUGGUCCCUGGAGGAGGAGGUCACCUUCCUCCAAGCAAACCCCCUGGUCCCCAGUGGAAGGGCCCUGAGCAGCCGGCCUUGCCAAAAACCCAUUGGGCGUGAGGCCUGGGGCAUGGGGUGGUGGUGGCUUUUCAGGAACAAUGCUGACUUCUGGAAACACCCCUCGCCCCACCCCCCACACACCCCGCAGGAGGAAAGGGAAGUCCCCUGGGGCCUCCCCAUGGAAAUGCUAAAAUUCUUCAGUGGUGAUUCUUGGCUUCUAGGAGUGGGGCUCCGGGGUCAGAAACACCUGUGAUAAUCUAAGGAGAAGCACGGAUGUCCGACCCCAGAAACUACACAGAGAUGCUCGUCCUCCUCUGGGGGUUGGGAGGGGUCACAAGCCCCAGAUUGGAAACCUCUGCUCUGAGCCCAGUUCCUUCCCGGAAGAAAGCUGGGGCAGGCGGCUAUCCUACAAACUCCCAAAGCGGUCUUCUCUUGUCGUUUUCCUGGGCAAAGAAGAGCAGCAAAUGAACAUCCCGGAAGGUGUCCCCACCAUCAACCACGGUGCAGAGGCUGGACCAGGCGUCUGAUUCCAGGGUCACAGCCAGGGCAAGAACAGUGGUCAUAGAAUCUUCCCUUCAAGGCUCCCUCUCCUCUCUGGGCCUUUGCCUUCUGAGAAGAUAAACCUGCCCCCCUCAGGUCACAGGCCCCCCAAGGCAUGUGUAUAGGAACUAUAAAGUGCCUCCCCUCCCCCCCCACCUCCUCCUCCUCCUCCCCCGCCCCCUCCGGGGAGGCCUCGGGUUCUGAUGAAACAGGACGUGGCACAGGAUGGACAGCAGACCCCGGUUUGAAUCCCGGCUCUGCCACUGACCAGCGCUGUGACCAUCAGCCAGUUACUUCUCUGCAGCCUCACUGAUGCUAAAUGACAGCAGUAA